rnacentral:rRNA from 1 species
CGAACGCUGGCGGCAUGCCUAACACAUGCAAGUCGAACGAGGUCCGGAGCUUGCUCCGGGUGCCUAGUGGCGAACGGGUGAGUAACGCGUGGGAACCUGCCCUGGAGUGGGGAACAACCUUUGGAAACGAAGGCUAAUACCGCAUACGCUCUACGGAGGAAAGGCUUCGGCCGCUCUUGGAUGGUCCCGCGUCUGAUUAGCUUGUUGGUGGGGUAACGGCCUACCAAGGCGACGAUCAGUAGCUGGUCUGAGAGGAUGAUCAGCCACACUGGGACUGAGACACGGCCCAGACUCCUACGGGAGGCAGCAGUGGGGAAUAUUGGACCAUGGGGGAAACCCUGAUCCAGCAAUGCCGCGUGAGUGAAGAAGGCCUUAGGGUUGUAAAACUCUUUCGCCGGUGAAGAUGAUGACUGUAGCCGGUAAAGAAGCCCCGGCUAACUCCGUGCCAGCAGCCGCGGUAAUACGGAGGGGGCUAGCGUUGUUCGGAUUUACUGGGCGUAAAGCGCACGUAGGCGGCAUAUUAAGUUAGAGGUGAAAGGCCUGGGCUCAACCUAGGAACUGCCUUUGAUACUGGUAUGCUUGAGUUCGGAAGAGGGUAGUGGAAUUCCAAGUGUAGAGGUGAAAUUCGUAGAUAUUUGGAAGAACACCGGUGGCGAAGGCGGCUACCUGGUCCGAUACUGACGCUGAGGUGCGAAAGCGUGGGGAGCGAACAGGAUUAGAUACCCUGGUAGUCCACGCCGUAAACGAUGAGUGCUAGUUGUCGGGAUGCAUGCAUUUCGGAUGACGUAGUUAACGCGUUAAGCACUCCGCCUGGGGAGUAC